rnacentral:lncRNA from 1 species
AGCAAAAGAAGGAAUUGCGUAGAGAAAGAGGGUAGACUGGCUCAAGCAAGAGGAAAGACCCCAAUGGGCAAAGACAAGUGAAGCAAGAACGAAAAUGAAUUCUUUGAGCCAGGAAAAGCUGGGUCUAUGGGCCUAGCCACACAAGCGCAUGAACUCGAUCAAAAGAAAUAACUUAAGGAGAGACUGACAGACGGAGAGACUCCAUUUACUACUUUAGGACUGUAGAGCUUGUAACUAGGCAGGAGGUACUAAAGAAAAAAAGCAAAUGCCCCGCCCCGUAAAGACCGGAAAUGGUGCUAGAGAUCUCAAAGAAGAGUACCUCGAUAAUAAAGCCCCUACUACAAAGGCUACGUCAAUUGGACUAGACCCGAAAGAUCAUCCCCCUUCCUACUCCUUUGAAUGAGAAGGCAAUCAAUUUGUUAGCUUUCUCGGCUUAACGACUCUUCGGCUUAAGGAGUUU